CUAAAAAAGAAAAGAAAAGAUAAAACAAUAUAUGUCCGUCGCCAAACCGGUACAUCCAAAUAUAAUAAUAGUUUUCAUCCUCUUUUUGUUCCUCUCUCUUUCAUUUUUGAGUUUUCAUGAUCUCCUCCCUCUCACUGCCAUGGAUACCUCCGUCAAAGGUGAGGGCGAUGAGCGCGCGAUAGCCGAUCUCCUGUCUCAUGCAUGGCCGCUUCAUUUUCUUAAGCUUAUUGAGCGCCCCUUUACGUUGCUUGAGGAAGAACCACAGUCUAAAAGACAAAGCCCUAUAUAAGAGUUGAAAAGAUGUUUGAAAAAAAACUCAAACUAAGCUUCCAAGUCCACCUGACUUCAUUCUUUGCGUUUUACCAGAGAGGAAAGAUUCUUAUAUUUAUGGUUUUAGGCUCUUGAAGUUGGCCACUUAAUUCAAGUUGGAUGAUUCAAGCAGAAACAAUUUGACACGUUUGACAACUCUUAAGUCCCUAAACUGAAGAGAUUUGAUCCUACACAUUCAGAUAGGUGAUCUCUACCAGGUAUUUACACAUUUGGAAACGCUCUUGAUGUUCAAAAUUAUUCAUAUGCCUCAGUGCUUUGCUGAUGGAAUUGUUAAUUCAUUAUUUGGUUCAUCCACUCUGAAGAUUAAACUUGAGCAGUGCUAAUAUGUUUUACUUGGUAAUUGUCUGUACAAUUUGUUCUCCUGGCCAUGCUUACGAAGGAUAGUCAUUUCAUGAGAUGUACUUGGUCAUUGCUUUCUUGUAACCUAUAUAGA